UAGUCAAUGUCAUUAUAUUCUUACUGUUAGCGUAGCGCGACGUAGCGCAGCGUUAUACUUUAGUUAUACUUUACCUAUAGUUUCUUUUCAGAUUUUAGCGUAAAACCCGCUCGAGUAGACAUACGUAUUACACACUGGUUGGAAGGAUAGACAUCCUUUACAGCGUUAUUUAUAGCAAUAUAUUCAUUGUUAUACGCCGAACAACUCGAAUUAUUACUUGUGUAGAUCAAAUUCCAAAACACGUCAAUCAAAAUCAUGAAAUUGUAUUCGUUAUUGGUCAUGGCUGUUCUUGUGGGAUUGGURACAUCAGAAUGUGGAAAAGAUGAGUACUACUCAAGUGAUAUUUGUAUGGAGCACUGUAGUUAUACGAUAUCGGCAGACGAUCGUUAUGUUAUAGGUACAUGUGUAAUAUCGUCUGAAUAUAAAGUUGGUAAAUCAUACCAAAAUUGUUGGAAAUGUACAAGUGAUCCUUUAAAAUGAUUCAUACAUUUCGAUUAGGAGUUUAUAUAGAAGCACCAAAAUUAGUGUUAUUUUAUUAGUUAAUAUUUUAUAGCAUUAUAUUUAUGUUAAAAUAUUGCACAAUUUCAGAAGUAAUAGUGAUCAAGUCUUAAUAGUAUGCUUAUUAAUUAUUAUGAUUUAUGAUAUUAUAUACACUAUACAGUAAAAUAAUUAAUAUAUAAUAUUAUAUAAACUAGAUUUAAAUAUGGUAUAUUUUGUGCAGAAAAUUGUUUAUUCCUCUAAAUUUAUACUGAUAUUAUAUCAGUGAUAUAUAUAUUAUGAUAAACAAAAUACAAAUUUAAAAAAAUUAUAUUGUAAUGAUAUAAAUUAAUGUUAUACUUACAAAUUUAGAAAUCAGGUAUGUUGUCUGCCUGUAAAAUAAAUCUCAUUAUGUAUAGUUUUGUUUGGUGAUAACUCAUUAUUGUUACAGAGUAUACAGAUCACAGAUUAGUACAAUCUACCAUAUUUAUUAUUUCAUCAAUUAAAGUUAAAGCCAAAGAAAUA